GGGGAUGUAGCACAGUGGUAGAGCACACGGUGUGCGUGUCUGAGGCAUUGGGUUCGAUCCCUGGCAUCUCCA
rnacentral:tRNA from 1 species